GGUUAUUUGCUGUUAAUCGGACCAAGCUCUUUGGUUUCAGGACUCCUUUGCAUUCUUAAGAAUUAUUGAAGAUUCCAAAAAAACUGUUAAUCUGGGUUAUGUCUUUUGAUGUACCAUAUUAGAAAAUAAAACCAGAAAAAGCACAAGUAUUUACUUCACAUAAAUUAACAGUAAUAAUCCCAUUAUAUAUUAUACAUGUAACUUUUUAAGUAAAAAUUAGCACUAUUUUCCAAAAGAAGAAAGAGUGAAAAGUGAUAUUUUAAAAAAAUAUUUGUAAAACUAUUGCCUGCCUUAAUGGAAGACCUCUGAAUCCUUGUACUCGCUUAUGCGUUAAGUCUAUUGCAAUACAAAUCCUGUAGCUUCUAGGAAUCUCCACUGUACACUUUGGAGACAAUACAAGUGAAAAGGCAGAUAAUUUUUAGUAUUGUUACGGGAAUCAUUUGAGACCCAUGUAACCCUGAGAAGGUCUUGGAGACCCCUGGGGGUGCACGGGCAGUACUUUGAGAACCAUGGCUCUAAGUUGAUAAGUUCUGCCUGCUUUUUGCAUUCUUACUGCUUUUUGUUACCUGUCUGCCCUCAGCACAGGUUGGACUCCAUGCAUACCCAUCCAUCAAUGGGUAAUGUGAAGGGAGGAAACAGAUGCAGUGAGCAGUGUGCAUCCAUCCUUCACCACCAGAAAUGGGCAGCCCCUGAGCUUGGCUCUGCCACUGGGCUCCUGGAGAGAGGCUGCCAUGGUCCAGUGAGCAGCCCAGGUUCUCCAGGCUGGACAGGGCACAUGGCAGCAGGAGCCUGGCUGGGGCUGCAAGAAGCAGCUGUGGCAGCUGAGUGAGAGGGGAAACUCUUACUAGAAUAUUUGGGCUGGCAAGUGACACCACUUCUGCUCUGAGAUAAGAUGGAGACUUUUCCAAGCUAUGUUUUAAAAUCAUAAAAAAACAGAGUCUCCUGCUGGAGAUAAGAUAUAAGUUGGUGUGGAGCAUCUGGGAGCUGUAAAAGAGGAGGGUUAUACCAGCAUUACUGAGGUUAUUACUGAAACCAAGAUUAUAAGUAAUUAAAGUUUUGAAAGUUUUCUCCAGGUACACAAUAGACUACUCAGUAUGUUGGAUUCUUGAGCUGGGGUCAGGUUAACUAUUAAAAGAGGAUGAAAAGUAUUUCUAACAAACCUGACAUUUAUUUAAAACCUACCCUAUUCCUGCUGUUUUAGCAGAUAUCGCUUUAAGCUGUGGCUCUUUUCCUGGCUCUCGGGACUUCUAAUGUUGAUUCACUUCCAUGCCUACUUCAUGGUGCUUUACCUCAUUUCGAUGUUAAAUUAGCCUGCUUGUUAUCAUGCUGGAAUGGAUGGUCUUCACCACGCUGUCUCCUGGGAUCCAACAAACUCAGAGCCUUCGGAGAAACAAGGACCAACCUUCAUAGCAUUUCUUCUCCAACUAUAACUCCUUUUGCUAGAAGCAAAUGCUGGGCUUGCACGGGAGAUUCUUGUCCCCCCCUCCCUUUUUUUUUCUCAGAAAGAGCAAAUUGCAUUUUUCAUUGCAGGAGCACACAAGCCCUAACUUUCAUGUGCCUAAAAUGUUCUUUAAUCGGCGUCUUCUUUCAGUAUCUUUGAUCUGCAGGAUGUAAUCACAUUUUCCUUGAAGAUAUAAAUCAUCCAAAAAAAAAAAAAACACAGAAGAGGAGAAAUGCCCUUAAAUAGCUUCUCAAAGUGAAUUAAAAAUGUAAAUUAAUUAUUUUGUAUUAUUUCCUAUGUCUCCCAUCUCGAUCUCCUGUUUUAAUCUUGCCUUAACUUCAUCUGUGCUGGUCACCCUGGAUCUUAGAUAAGAUACUUCAUUCACAAA
rnacentral:lncRNA from 1 species